rnacentral:lncRNA from 1 species
AGCAGAAGCUAGGACGAGGCGAGGCAAGGCGAGGAGGAGAAGGGCGACGAGAAGAAUAGCGAGCUCUCUAGGCUGGCGAUGGCUUUCAUGGGCACCGAAGUAACCCACUGGGGGUGUGAACGCGGCGAGAAACGGCGUUGGGAAUGUGCGGGGGCUUGGAAGCCGACGGGACUGGACGGCGGUUUGACCCAACGACCGCCAUAAUUCUCCUCGGAAGCCGAGCGAAGCCGGUGAUAUCACAAAGUGUACGACAAAGUGCAAGACUUCUAGAAUAUAAUGCAUCAUCUCAACGUUAGUUAUUUUUUUACUUUUUAAAAUUCUACAAAAAACUAAAAGUUAAAAAUCAAAAGUUCAAACAUUAAAAGCUUCAAACCAAAAAAAUAAUAUUAAAGUUAGAAGUUAAAAAAGGAAAAGCUAAAAAAUUAAAAGUAAAAGGGGAGAAUUAAAAGCUGGACAAGAAACGCAAAAAUAUUUUUUUUGUCCCGACAACACAUUUUAGCUGCGGGAAUUAGUCCACCUGUUUUGAUUUUGGCGGUCAUCCACCAACUAGCCCCGCCUCAUAACCUGG